rnacentral:lncRNA from 1 species
GACAAGAAAAUUGCUAACAUCUUCACAAAAUCCUUAAGUAGAGAUCACUUUGAGAGGAACAUGUUAUAAUUAGGGAUGAUUAAGAUCACCUAAUAGGAUCAAUUCAAUGUUAGACAAAAAAAUGAUGAAAAUUUUGAAAAACAAAUUGGUUAGAAAGUCUGUAAAUUGUGUAUAAUUAGAUUAAAAUCUUUCUCAGUCCCAUACUUUCUAUAGUAUACUCUUGUGCCAUGGGUUAAAAUGACUCAUUAAUCUCUAAUGAUACUUUCUCUAUUUUGGAAAAUCUAGACUUACA